rnacentral:rRNA from 1 species
GCCUAGCACAUGCAAGUCGAGCGGAUGAAGGGAGCUUGCUCCUGGAUUCAGCGGCGGACGGGUGAGUAAUGCCUAGGAAUCUGCCUGGUAGUGGGGGAUAACGUCCGGAAACGGGCGCUAAUACCGCAUACGUCCUGAGGGAGAAAGUGGGGGAUCUUCGGACCUCACGCUAUCAGAUGAGCCUAGGUCGGAUUAGCUAGUUGGUGGGGUAAAGGCCUACCAAGGCGACGAUCCGUAACUGGUCUGAGAGGAUGAUCAGUCACACUGGAACUGAGACACGGUCCAGACUCCUACGGGAGGCAGCAGUGGGGAAUAUUGGACAAUGGGCGAAAGCCUGAUCCAGCCAUGCCGCGUGUGUGAAGAAGGUCUUCGGAUUGUAAAGCACUUUAAGUUGGGAGGAAGGGCAGUAAGUUAAUACCUUGCUGUUUUGACGUUACCAACAGAAUAAGCACCGGCUAACUUCGUGCCAGCAGCCGCGGUAAUACGAAGGGUGCAAGCGUUAAUCGGAAUUACUGGGCGUAAAGCGCGCGUAGGU